UUCUUCACGCAAACUGCGUUUUAUGUCACUGAAAACAGACGUUUUGGAAAACUCCUGCCAGGGUGAAGAUUUUUAGUGUUGACCCGUAGGCAGAGUUUUUGGCUUGCCAUUAUCUGUUUUGUGAAGCGUCAAAAUGGGGCAACGUUUCAUGCAACGGCGGACGUGGCCAAAAUAGCGCUGGUUCUAUCCUUGCAAACAGGACUUGUAAAUAGAUAAAUGCACAUUUACUCUAUACUCCCACUAUAUUGACACGAUUACUCAUUGACUUUUGGAAACAGUUAAACAAAAAUCUCCCUUAAUACUUUUCCCUUUUGAACUUUAUGAAUUCCCCUUCGGAACACAGGACAAAAUAAGAGUUGACUUGCAUAAUGUAAUGUGCAAAAUAAUAAUUUUUCCCCGAUUACUUUGUUUUGGUGAUCGCUGGGAGCCAAAAUCAAAAUCACGGUCAAAAUUUGAUUUAACUGCACAGCCCUAUAUCACCGCCCUGGUUCUGGCAUGCUCUUGACAGCGCUUCCAUUGUGUUUUUGUGUUGUCAUUCGGAUGGAGAUUUUUUUUAAACCGCGCUUGUGUGGACGGGAUUUCUUUUUUAGAACUAAAGGAGGGAAAAACCCUGUUUCCAAAAAUACCCGUGUACGUGUGUACUAGGCCUCAGAUCACCUUUGCAUGAGUCAAAAUCAGAACACUGAACAGCAGAGAGCAGUGAAAACACACCGACAUGAAGAUGGCUGUACCAUCAGUAAGCUCCUCCUUCCUCAUUACAAACAUGCAAUAAAAGGAUGAUUUCACACCAAUGUUAUUUUCAUUAAUGCCUUUGCAUAUUUCUGUAUUAGUCACAGUUCAGCCACCACAGUGAAUAUUAUGCCUAGAUGAGGAUUUUAAAAUGUUUGUCAUUUGGUUUUUUCCUCUGUCUUUGCUAACAGACAUCGUGAUAUCGUCGCUUACGAUCCAACAAUCACCUCCUCUGAUAAAACCUGAGCAAGCAGAAGCCCGUCUUGACUGUUACCAUGGAGACAACAACUACCCCUACAUGCUAUGGUACCGGCACAAGUCGGCAGCAGGAGGCCAGGGGGACAUGGAGCUGAUCGGCCUGCUUCAUUACGAAAAACCAAACGUUGAGAAGAACUUUGAACCACGUUUCAACAUGACGGGCCACUCAAAGGGCCAAGCUCAGCUUGUCAUCUCCAACACAAACCCAGCAGACAGUGCAGAGUAUUUCUGUGCAGCGAGUUAGCACAGUGUUUCAACUCCUCUGGCUCCUUUACAAAAAGCUGGUGGCCCACAGUAACAUGCACCUGCAUCAAACCUAAACGGCUCGAUAAAGACAGCAGCAUACUUCAGCUGCUGCUGUUUUCAUUCCCUGCUGACAGGACUAACAAAAGGUAUAAAAGUAACGCGUAAGGCAAAUUAUGAUGGAUGAAUCAAACAAAAGACGGACUAAACAUGCACGUUGUUGUGCACAUAAACAUCGCAAACACAACCGCUCCAGUCUUCUUCCUUCUGUAUGUCUUCUCUUUUGUCUAUUUAAUACUGCAGAGAGUCUGAUGUCAUUUACUCCACACACAGCUCUCAAGUGUUGGCUCAUUGUAUUUUCAGUCAUUUCAUUUUCCUAAAUCAAAAUAGGCUGCAGGUAAAGUUAAUAUCUAUAAAAACAAAAAAAAACAAAAAACAUAUAUAGACACAACCUGGCUUCCACAAGCAAAUGUGUGGUUAAAAAUUUUUGGUGUUUAAUAUAGAGUAUAUUUUCAUCAUUUGUUCCUCUGAAGUACGGCUGCUCGAUUAUGGGAAAAAAAUAUAAAUCACAAUUAUUUCGGUCAAUAUUGAAAAUCGUCGACUUCUGGAAAGAUUAUUGAACUUAAAAAACGGUGGAAAAAAGUUAAAUAAAUCAACAGUAAAAAAACACAUACAACUGUGAACUUUGCCUUAAUACCUUUCCUAUUGAAACUUUAUUUUUACAUUCAGAACACAAGAGAAAAUAAGAGUUUACUUGCAAAAUGUAAUGAGCUAAAUAAUUAUUUAUUGAUUAUUCUAUUUUUGUGAUCACUGGGAGCCGAAAUCAUAAUCAC